AAGAUUUAACUUGUAUAAAUGACCCAUUUUUGUAAUAAAACUCUUUUGCUGAGAUGUUUUUUUAGUUUUGUACAACUGGUACAAAGAUUGUGUAAUGCCAAAGUUACUGUGUUGUUUUUGUGUCAAAAACUUCCUAAACUAUAGGAGUUUUAUUCAAUAA